rnacentral:rRNA from 1 species
CCUACGGGAGGCAGCAGUGAGGAAUAUUGGUCAAUGGACGAGAGUCUGAACCAGCCAAGUAGCGUGAAGGAUGACUGCCCUAUGGGUUGUAAACUUCUUUUAUAUGGGAGUAAAAUGUUCCACGUGUGGGAUUUUGUAUGUACCAUAUGAAUAAGGAUCGGCUAACUCCGUGCCAGCAGCCGCGGUAAUACGGAGGAUCCGAGCGUUAUCCGGAUUUAUUGGGUUUAAAGGGAGCGUAGGUGGAUUGUUAAGUCAGUUGUGAAAGUUCGCGGCUCAACCGGAAAAUUGCAUUUGAAACUGGCAGGCUUGAGUACCGUAGAGGUGGGCGGAAUUCGUGGUGUAGCGGUGAAAUGCUUAGAUAUCACGAAGAACUCCGAUGGCGAAGGCAGCUCACUGGACUGAAACUGACACUGAGGCUCGAAAGUGUGGGUAUCAAACAGGAUUAGAUACCCGGGUAGUC